AUAACGCUAAAAACGCCGACGUAUAGGUUUCCCGUAUUCACGUAUGCGCAUAUGCUAAGUGAUGCCCACGGUGAAGCAUUGUUAGUUCGGCGGGUUUCCGCUACCAACGUUGCCAUCAACUAGCUUAAGCAUUUUUCAGAGGAUGAGUAGAAAAAAGAUUGAGGGAUGAGAAGGGGAGAGUUAUGCAAUAGCUAGGUUGGGGAUUUGCAGCG
ensembl:ncRNA K08A8.25 ncRNA